AUGAUGAAGCUACAUAUUUGGCCAAUGAAAAGGCAGAUGCAACAAAAUUACAUGAAUUCUCUAUCACUAAGUGCAUGGAUGUGUUGAAAAAAAUGGAGGAUGUGACCCGCAUCGAGAAGAUCAAAGCAUUCAACGUCUUCAAGGAUGCUGCAAACCGUGAGAUUUUCAUCAAUGCCGCUGAUGAUGAUAAAGAUACUGCUGUUAUGUGGCUUCGGAGCCAAAUGUCCCCAUGAGGUAUGUUCAAGACAGGUAGCAGACAUAACUUCUUUGUUAUAUAAUUCUGUGAUAGUUGAUGGUAUAUUACAUCUCUUCCUUGUUAUAAUUCUGUGAUAGUUGAUAAAACUUGCAGACAUAACUUCCUUGUUAUAUAAUUCUGUGAUAUAUUAGUUAAAUUUUGGGAUAUUCACCAUGUGGAGGCAGUGGUUCAACUCGGAUCCUUUUGCAAACGAUGUUAUGUUUGAUAACAUAACGUCGAGUGCUCUAGAAUUCAGAUCUUUAGUUAGUUUUAAACUUGUAGACGUUAUGUUUUAUCAAACUUGCAGAAGUUAUAUCUUUAGUUAGAUUCACCAUGUGGAGGCAGUGGUUCAACUCAUAUUCUUUUGCAAACUAAUAUAUCUAACUAGAAGGUGCAUCUGCAAGUUUAAAACAUAAAAAAAUAACAUAACGUCGAAUGUAGGUUCUUUCGUGAUAAAACUUGCAAACGAUGAUGCUUUUAUUGCUGCAACUAUAAGUUACAGUUUGUAAAAAUCUGUACCUGACCGUAUCAUUUAAUAAAAAUAUGUAAUAUACCUCAUGUAAAAUCUGUAAAAAUCUGUACCUGACCACCUCGACGUGGUCAAAUCUACAGGAGCAGUGGUGGUAGUACAAAAAUUAGGUUCAUUGUCAAAAACAGCAGUAGUGGUGGUAGUACAGGAGCAGUGGUGGUGGUACAAAAAUUAGUACAAAAACAGCAGAAACAGAGCACAGGUGAAGUAGAGCUAUCUAAAGGCACAGGUUCAUUGCCAUGCCCAUCCCUGGGUUGAGUAUGAUCCAUCUGUGGCACUUGCAGAUGGUUCAGAUGAUGCCUAGCCAAGAAACAGUCCUGCCUGGUUGCCCUUAACCUGGAAACACAAUUUGAAUGAACAUCAGUAGUGUAGCAUUAGAUAGCAAUGUUACGUCUCCUUGAAACAAUGUGUGUGCAGAUCAAAAACAUAUGCUUUCUGAUUAUGGGUGAUCUACUUAACAGUUACACUGACUGCUGUUUGUUUUGUUUUGUUCCGCAGCCUGCACCUAUGAGAUCGUUGCACUGGCAACAAGCACCCAAUGAAGAAAAGCGCAGUCGAUGUUAGCCCCUUAGAUCUGCCAGAAAGUGGUUCAUCUCAUAAACUGGCAUUUUACCAGCACUCGUUUUGAGCCUCCUGCUGAUCUUAUGUCAUGUAAAAUAAAGCAAACUAGGUUGACCUUAUUUGGGAGUCGCUUUCUAUUUUCAAUGCCUACUUGUUGCACAAAUGGAAUGUUUCAUUUCUCCGAGGAGUCAGUUUGCUAUUGAUGAUGACAUGAUUUUCAAUAAAUUGUCGACCUCGGAUCUUUGAUGAUGCCCCUUGAUGUCUGCUAUUUUAUGUCAUUUGGUGUCUGUUCCAAACCAUAUCAGCAGUUAUUUUAUGCCCCUUGAUGUCUGCUAAGUUAUGUCAUUUGGUGUCUGCUAUUUUAUUUUUUUGAUGAUGCACCUUCUGGUUAGAUAUAUUAGUUUUAAACCUUAUCAGCAGUUAUCUGAAAACUUUAGUACCAAACAAGGUCUGGGGUGGGGGAUUAUUGGGGAAUUGAGGGGAUUUGGUGGAGGGGAGGGGAUCACCAAAUCCCCUCCAAUCCCCAAGCGUAUUUGGUGUGAGAAAACACCAGAGCCGAACAGGGUCUAAGGCAUUGUUUGGUACUAGUGUAUUUUAGGGAAUUUAUAGGGAUUAUUCCGGUCAAACCCCUCAAUCCCCACAUAUCCCAUAACACCAUUUGGUUCUAGUGUAUUUGACAUCUUUCAUCCCCACAUUUCCCCUCAAAUCCCCAAAUUAUAGUGCAUUUUUCUCAAUACCCAAUACACUACCCCUACCUAGUGUAUUGGGGAUAAAUGGGGAUUUGAAGGGAUUGGGUGAAGGUUGGGGUUUCACCCAAUCCCUUGGGGGAUUAUCCCCACCAAUCUCCUCAAAAACACUAGUACCAAACAAGGCCUAAAAGUGGUCACACCUUUAUAAUUUUUGUGUUUUAAGGUUUCGAUAGAAAAAAGUGUCGAGAACAGAUAUCGUAAAAGUGGUCCAACCCGUAAUUUUUUAAAGGGCAUAAAAAAUCCACACCCGAAACACUUAUAUUUAUAGACUCGAAGGCCGUUCGUCUCUCGUAUACCGGUCAAACAUUGUCGGAGCAAUCACGCUGCCACGGAAAUUGCCGGAACCAACUCGUUGGAAUUCAUCACCGCACACCGGAAAAGGCCAUUGGUCGCCGGAAUCGAUCGCCGCCUGCUCGAAUAGGAUGAGCUAUGUUAAGAAUAAUCUAGACUCAACUAGAUAUCAUUGUAACAAUCGGUUUAAGCUAGAGAUAAAGCUAAAACAAACUUGUGUAGUUUGUUUAGGUUCGAAGUUGUCCUCUUACCAUCUUGUACUCAAAGUUUUUUACUUGUGAAUGUCGUGAUCAUGGGCUAUUCAGAUCCUAUAUAAACUCUGGAGCCUACCUAGGUACGUUGGUACGCUUCCCAAUUUACAUGGUAUAGGAGCCAUCCUUCUUAAAUACAUCUAGCUUUCCUUCCACAGCCAUGGCCUCCUCAUCCCAAGCCCCUGUCAACCUCCUCACCAGCGAAAUCACCGAUAAAUUAACUCGUGAAAAUUACCUUCUGUUGAAGACUCAAUUCCUUCACCAGAUCCGAGCCGCCUCUCUCUAUGAAUACCUUGAUGGAUCCAUGCCCGUACGAGAGAAGUUCAUCACCACCACCGACAAGGAGGGCAAGCCCACGAGCGCCCCAACCCACCUCACGCGAUCUGGAUCAUCCAAGAUUAGCACGUGCUCGUAUAUAUGCUGAACUCUGUCUCCAAGGAGGUCCUCACGCAGAUUGUGUCGGUCGAGACAACACACUCGCCUUGGACUCCAUUGAAGAACAUGUUCUCUUCGCAGUCCCGCUCUCGCAUCAACAUGCGCAUCGCCCUGACCAAUGCACAGAAGGGAACUCUAUUCGUUCCUGCCUACUUUGCCCGGAUGCGGUGAUGAGCUUGCGGCUUGCUUCACAACCCAUGCAAGACAAGGAACUUAUCUCCUUCAUCCUAGCUGACCUCGACCUUGACUAAGACCCUCUGGUAUCUGCCCUUGAUGCACGCACUGAGCCCAUCACUCUUGAUGCUUUAUACUCGCAGAUGGCAAACUUUGAUCAGCGGGUGGAAUUGUUCCAAGGCUCUGGCAGCAAUGGUGGCUUCAAAUCAUCCGUGAAUGCUGCAACACGUGGGUGUGGACGCCAGAGUGGAUGUGGGACAUCCCAUGGAUGAGGUGGUGGAUGUGGCAAUCUUGGCCAAAUUAAGUCGCGACUAUACCAACGAUAAUGCCCCUUCCUCCUACAACACCAACAGGGGGGAGGGGCAUCUUGCGGACCAGGAGUACCAGGACCACAUGGUGGUGGCUUCCGCAAUGACAACCGGGCCCAAUGACAGAUCUGCAACAAGCCAGGACACAUCGCUAUGGAGUGUUGGUACCGGUUCACGGAGGACUACCUUCCAGAAGAGAAGGUGGGCGCGUCCGCAACAACAAGCUCCUACGAGAUAGACACAAAUUGGUAUGCGGAGAACGAGAAGCUCACCAUCCGUGACAAGUAUCAUGCCGCAAGUCUCUGUUCCGACGGAAGGCCUCUAGAGCUCCAUUUUGGUACUUUGUCGCACGGGAAUCGAUCAUGGAGGGCUUCUUCAUCCACCUUGCUGCCCUCAUGAUGAUGUGUGAGUAGUUCAUCACAUACCUACCGACGUCAGCUGUGCUUCCCUGGCAAUGGCUCCAGAAAAGGGUUGAUCCUGCAAUCUCUGGCGUUAGCUAGAUGAAUGCUUAUGACAACGAACCUUCUCCUGCAACGACACCAGAAGAAUGCUGCUAGCACUCCCCGGCAAUGAAACUGGAAGAACGUUGUUGAUGGCCCACCAGCACGUGGGUUCGCAGCAGUUUUCGAGGGUAGAGUAUUCGACCCAAUUUGUAGAUAAGCCUUAGGAGGUGAGAGUAUACUCUCAAGUAUUAGCAGCUGAAUUUUUCAGAUUCAACCACACCUGAAAGAUUAGUAUCUGCAAGCACAGGAGUAACAGCAAAGUAGUAUGAUAACAACGGGGUCAGAAACGAUCUGUUGACAGCAGACUAUUCCUAACGAUUGUAUCAAUGGCGCUUCCGUUUCCGCGUUGACGAAAGUUGUCAAUUCCCGUCAACGGUCAGGCGAAUCAACAGUGUAACAGGUAGUAGCAGUGUAACGAGCAAUAGCAGUGGCAAGGAAUAACAGUAGUGACAGCAGUAGCAAGUAGCAACAGUAGCAAGCGAUAGUAGUAGCAACAGUAGCAGCAGAGCAAGACAAGUAACAGCAGUAGCAACAAUAGUAGCAGCAGAGCAAGACAAGUAACAACAGUAGCAACAGUAGUAGCAGCAGCAGAGCAAGACAAGUAAUAACAGUAGUAACAGUAGGACAAACUCGUAGGCAAUGGGUCGGUGAUUUGUUUGGAUGCAACAGUAGGACAAACUCGUAGGCAAUGGGUCGGUGAUUUGUUUGGAUGCAACAGUAGGACAAACUCGUAGGCAAUGGGUCGGUGAUUUGUUUGGAUGCAACAGUAGGACAAACUCGUAGGCAAUGGGUCCGUGAUUUGUUUCGAUGAUAUUCAUCGUGCAAUAGCUAUAACACGGAGAGAUAAGUGGCUAGCUCCCGUUCGUCAAUGUGAUGUAGGCAUGCAUUCCGUGUGUCGUCAUACGUGCUUAGGGAAAAGAACUUGCAUGACAUCUAUUGUCCAUCCCUCCCGUGGCAGCGGGGUCCAAAAGGAAACUACGGGAUAUUAAGGUUCUCCUUUUAAUAAAGAACCAGACCAACGCAUUAGCACUUGGUGAACACAUGAACUCCUCAAACUAUGGUCAUCACCGGGAGUGGUUCCGGUUAUUGUCACUCCGGGGUUGCCGGAUCAUAACACAUAGUAGGUAACUACAACUUGCAAGAUCGGAUCUAAAACACACAUAUAUUGGUGAAAACAUAAUAAUUUCAGAUCUGAAAUCAUGGCACUCGGCCCUAGUGACAAGCAUUAAGCAUGGCAAAGUAGUAGCAACAUCAAAUCUCAGAACAUAGUGGAUACUAGGGAUCAAUCCCCAUCAAAACUAACUCGAUUACAUGAUAGAUCUCAUCCUACUCAUCACCGCCCAACGAGCCUACGAAUAGAUUACUCACGAACGACGAAGAGCUUCAUGGAAUUGGAGAGGGAAGAAGGUUGAUGAUGACGAUGGCGACGAUUUCCCCUCUCCGGAGCCCAAGACGGACUCCAGAUCUGCCCUCCAGAUGAAGAACAGGUGGUGGCGGCGCCUCCGUAUUGAAAACGCGACGAAAACUUCUCUUUUUAUUUUUUUCGGGACGAAAGACAACUUAUAGAGCUGGAGUUGGGGGCGGCAGGUGCCUGUGGGCCCCACAAGCCUGCCCACCGCCACCAGGGGGGGCUGGCGGAGCAGGGGCUUGUGGCCCACUGGUCCACCCCCUGAGGUGGAUCCUGGCGCAGGUAUUUUUGAUAUUUUCCAAAACUGCUCCCCGUAAAUUUUCGGGACGUUUGGAGAACUUUGAUUUCUGCACAAAAAUAAUACCAAGGCAAUUCUGCUGAAAACAACGUCAGUCCAGGUUAGUUCCAUUCAAAUCAUGCAAAUUAUAGUCCAAAACAAGGGCAAAAGAGUUUGGAAAAGUAGAUACGUUGGAGACGUAUCAACUCCCCCAAGCUUAUAACCUUGCUUGUCCUCAAGCAACUCAGUUGACAAACUGAGAGAGAAAGACAAACUUUGACAAACUCUGUUUGAUCUUGUUGUUGCAACUAUGUCUAACUCAUAACCAGAAUUUCAGCAAGAUCACAAGUUAACCACAUAAGCAAAUGACACAAAGGUCUCACGGUAAACUAAUAUCAAUGGCAUAAUCAGCUAACGAGCAAAUAAUAAUGAGUUUCAAAUACCAACACUUCAAUUAAAACAAGCAUGAAGCAAUAUGAAUAGGUGGUAUCUCGCUAGCUCUUUCUGAGACCGCAAAACAUAAAUGCAGAGCACUUUCAAAGAUCAAGGGCUGACUAAACAUUGUAAUUCAUAGCAACGAAGAUCCAGUCAUAGUCAUACUCAAUAUCAAUCUAAAGCAAAGCAUAAAAAUGACAGAGGUGCUCUCUUAUUGGUGCUUAUAUAAGAGGAGGAUGACUCAACAGGAAAAUAAAUAGACAGGCCCUUUGCAGAGGCAAGCAUUGAUUUGCAGAGGUGCCAGAGCUCAAGCUUUGAAAACAGAGAUAAUAAUUUUGGGUGGCAUGCUUUCAUUGUCAACGCAAUGACCAAGAGUUCUCAAUAUCUUCCAUGCUACUCAUGCUAUAGGCGGUUCCCAAAUAGAAAAGUAAAGUUUUAACUCCCCCACCCCCAAUCAAUCACACUCCACGGCUAGCCGAAUCCUCGGGUACCGUCCAUACUAACAUCAAUCCGGGGGAGUCUUGUUUUAUAGUUAUGUUUUCGAUUUAAGCAUGGAACUGGGCAUCCCAAAUACCGGCCCCUUUCUCGUGAAUGACUGUGAAUAAACACAUGUCGAGGAUAACACUCCUAGCAUGGAAGAUACCGAUAGCCCUCUGUCACCACAUGAGCGGUUCGGGCAUGCAAAACAUAUUAUUUCUUGAAGGUUUAGAGAGUGGCACAUGCAAAUUUACUUGGAACGGCAGGUAGAUACCGCAAAUAGGUAGGUAUGGUGGACUCUCAUGGAAAAACUUUUGGGUUUAUGGAAGUGGAUGCACAAGCAUCAUUCCCGCUUAGUACAAGUGAAGGCUAGCAAAAGACUGGGAAGCGACCAACUAGAGAGCGACAACAGUCAUCAAGAUGCAAUGAGUUUGACUAACAUUGAAUGCAAGCAUGAGCAGGAUAUGAAUCACCAUGAACACGAACAUCAUAGAGGCUAGCUAUGUUGAUUUUGUUUCAACUACAUGCAUGAACAUGCGCCAAGUCAAGCCACUUGAAACAUUCAAAGGAGAAUACCAUCCUAUCAUACUACAUCAUAGUCAUCUCAAAAUCUAUGUUGGCAAUCAAGACAAACCAUUAUAAGCUCUCAGCUAAAUAAGCAUGGCAUCAGAAACUAUGAUCUCUAAAUUGUCAUUGGAAACAUGGUUCUCUCACAACAAAGCUAAAUUUGGGUCGACAAGCUACUCAUAUUUACAAAAACAAAAUAGAUAGAGUUCAUACCAGCUUUUCAGUCUCAGUCACUUCAUCAUAUAUCAUCAUUGUUGCCUUUCAUUUGCAAGAUCGAACGAUCAAAACGAUAAUAAGCGCAUUGGACUAAGCUGAAUCUGCAGGCAAACACAAAGGAGAAGACAAAAUAAUAUGGCUCUAUGAAAGCUAAGCAGGUAAGCAUGUAAGAACCAAUAAGCAUCGUAACCAAUAUCUUCUACCUUGACACAAAGAAAAAGAAAACUAUUUACACGAGAAAGCUCCCAACAAUCAAAACAAGAAAGAAAAAUAUUUUUGGUUUUCUCAAAAGGACACAAAACAAGAAAACAAAAAGAAACUAGUAUGGAUAAUACAGUGGCAAAGUGUAAACACCGGCUAACAAAGUGAAAUCAUAAGCAUGAAUGUAAAGUCGGCGAGAACACGUACUCCCCCAAGCUUAGGCUUUUGGCCUAGCUUGGUCUACUCCCAUGGAUGAUCCUGGCGAAACCCAAAGUCAUAAUGGGUGUUAUACGGGAGUGCUGCAGUCACUGCCUGAAUAGCUGUCUCGCGAAGUCGAGAAGCAGUCGUCUCCCUCUCAUACUCCUGUGCCUCUCCUAUGGUUAUGUAGUAUCUUCGUUUAACCCGAAAGUCAAAGAAAGCAGGAGCGGGAAGGGUAAUAUGGAAAACACGCUGCCGGUUAAAUAUCAAGCGGUAUAGAAGAGAUCCAUGAUCUCUCUCAAGGAACUGGUAGCGUGUUAGAGCGACACGAUCAAGGUAGGCUGUACGGAGAGGAGGGUCUUCUGGACGGAUGGAUACUCCCAGAAAAUUUGCUAAGCAUGUAGAAAAACUCCGCCAAAGAAAUCCCCCUCACUGGCAUUUUUAUUCAGCCUCCUUGCUAUAAUAGCUCUCAUAUUGAAGCUCCUGUCACCUGUUACUGCACUCUUAAGGAUACUAAGGCCGGAAGCGCAUAGGUGACAAUGUGCACCCUUGCCGUUAAUGCACCUACCUAUGAAGAGGGCAAGGUAGUGCAAGGCAGGGAAAUGGAUACUUCCUAUGGUGGCUUGCGUGAUAUCUCUGGUUUCUCCAACAGUUAUAUUAGAGACAAAGUCUCUGACCGAAGACUUAGGAGGAUCAAUAACACUACCUCCAUCGGGUAUCUUGCAAAUCCUAUUGAAAUCCUCCGGACCCACGGCAUAGGAUUUAUCGUACAGAUCAAAUAGUAUGGAUGACUCAUGGCCAGCUAAAAAUUUAAAUCUACGCACGAAAGAGGCAGUGAGCAUAGCAUACUGUUCACAUUUAUCUGAAAGGAAUUCUUCUAACCCGGCAUUGCGGACAAGUGCAUCAAACUCAUCCUUGAAGCCUGCUUCGAUCAUGAACUCAUCGGAAGGCCAUUCACAUGGUUGCACCGGUGCGUCCCUUAGUUGAAAAGGUUUGGGCUCCAGAAAAGAGAGGCUGGGACCCUUCUUACUUGAGGAACCACCAUGAAACUUCCUCCUGAACAUAAUUUCCUUUUGCUGAAAUUUUUGAAGUUCAAGAGAAAAGUGAAUGAGGACCAACCAUACCUGGUAGCAACUACUCCUACUAGUGCCUAGAGACCGUAUCACGCGCUAAAACUACUUGGGACCAGCUAAAAUCAACUUUUAUAGCUCAAGAACAGGGUCACCAAGGUAGCAAGAAUUCGCGAAGGAUAAAGCACUAGAGCAAAAACUAAUUGGACCAAUGGAGGAGUCACUUACCAAGGAGUAAUUUCCCCAAAACAGUUCGGAGAAUGGUGCUUUGAGCAAGGAGAUCGAAAAUCACAGCCAAAUGAGCAAGAACACGGGUUUGAGCUGCGAAACAAUUUUUUCUAGAGGUGGAAGAAGAGGCUGAGAGCUGGAGUGAGUGGAGGGGGUGCCUAUGGGGCCCACAAGCUAGCACCCCGCCACCAGGGGGUAGGUGGCGGUGGGGGGGGGCUUGUGGCCCACUGGUCAGGCCCCCUGACCAGCUCUCAGGCCUAGAAAUUUUAAAAAAUUCCAGAAAAAAUCAUACUAAAUUUUCAGGACCGACGGAGAACUUUUAUUUUCGAGGUAUUUUUCUCGAGGACGCUAAAACAGAAAACAGGAAAAGCUAAACUAAUUCUAUCAUUUUUCUUCUAAGCAAAAGAAAAUGAAGACUCAAAACAGAGGUAUGUGACUCUUUGAUUCGUCCGUUUCAUGGUCAUCGAAAGAAAUCCGUCAAUGGGAUUGAUCAAGUCCUUAUGAAAAAACCUUCUCGAAUCGCAAGAGAGAAUGGAGAAUAUUCUAAUAGCAACUAAGUCACCUCAAUGGGGAUAUGAAUCUCCCCAACUAGCAAAUCAUACUUCAUCUUGACACGAGGAAUAGGGCAUUCAAAGCUCCCAAUGAGAAUCGAUGAAGUCUUUUCGAUAGCAUUGAUGCAAUGUACUUGAUAUCAUUUCUUCGGAAGUGCACUGUGUGCUCAUUACCAUUGACUUGGAAAGUGACAUUGCCUUUGUUGCAAUCUAUAACUGCCCCUGCAGUGUUUAAAAAGGGUCUUCCGAGGAUGAUAGCCAUGGCAUCGUCCUCGGGAAUAUCCAAGAUAACAAAGUCUGUUAAGAUAGUGGUAUUAGCAACCACAACAGGCACAUCCUCGCAAACGCCGAUAGGGAAAGCAGUUGAUUUGUCGGCCAUUUGCAGAGAAAUUUCAGUGGGUGUCAACUUAUCCAACUCAAGUCUACAAUAAAGAGAAAGCGGCAUAACACUAACACCGGCUCCAAGGUCACAUAAGGUAGUUCUUAUGUAGUUUCCUUUAAUGGAGCAAGGUAUAGUGGGCACUCCGGGAUCACCAAGUUUCUUAGGAGUUCCACCUUUAAAAGUGUAAUUGGCAAGCAUGGUGGAGACCUCAAGAUCUGGUAUCUUCCAUUUAUUAGUCACGAAUCUUUCAUGUACUUGGCAUAUAGAGAAAUCUUGAGCAUAUUAGUUAACCGCAUCUGCAGAAAGACAGGUCUUAUCAUCUCAACGAAGCGCCCAAAAUCCUCAUCAUCCUUUUUCUUGGAUGGCUUAGGAGGAAAGGGCAUAGGUCUCUAAACCCAUGGCUCUCUUUCUUUACCAUGCUUCCUAGCAGUAAAGUCAUUCUUGUCGUAUCUCUUAGGUUGUGGAUUACCAGGAUUAACCGUAGGUUCAAUCUCCACAUCCUCAUCAUGGCUAGGUUGAGCAUUAUUAUGAACAUCAAUGUCCAUAUUGUCACCAGGUUCAUGUUCAUCACCUGAUUGUGUUUCUGCAUCAGACGCAGAGAUAUCAUUAGGUUCUUCAUGUGUGACAUUAUUCGGUUAACUAGCGUGCAGGUUUCUAUCAUCCUUCUUCUUCUCCUUAGGAUGACUAGGUGUAUCAGCAUUGAUUCCUUGAGAAUCUUGAUCAAUUCUCUUAGGAUGACCUUCAAGAUACAAAGGUUCCUCAGUCAUUUUGCCUCCUCUAGUAAUGACUCUGACAGAGUUGUCAUUUAAUUCAUUGAGCAUGUCAUUCUGAGCUUUAAGUACUUGUUCUACCUGAGUAGUAAUCAUAGAGGCAUGUUUACUCAGAAGCUUCAGAGCAUUGACAUUUCUGUCUACACAAGCACUUAGAUGGCUAAGCAUACGAGCACUUUGUUCCAAAUGUCUGCUAACAUAAUCAUUGAAACUCUGUUGUUUGGCAACAAAGUUGUCAAAUUCAUCAAAGCAUAGGCUAGCAGGUUUAUCAAAAGGAAUAUCACUCUCGUCAAAUCUACGCAAAGAAUUCACUUCUACUACCUGUAUCGGGUUAUCGAGACCGUGGAUCUCUUCGAUAGGUGGUAGAUUUUUGACAUCUUCAGAUCUAAUGCCUUUCUCUUGCAUAGAUUUCUUGGCUUCUUGCAUAUCUUUGAGACUGAGGAAUAGAAUACCUCUUUUCUUGGGAGUUGGAUUAGGAGGUGGUUCGGGAAUAGUCCAAGCAUUAUCGUUGAUCAAGAGGUUAUUCAGCAGGGUCUCAGCUUGUUCUACAAUUCGUUCCCUAAAAGCACAACCGACACAACUAUCUAGGUGGUCUCUAGAGGCAUCGGUAAGUCCAUUAUAGAGGAUAUCAAGUAUCUCGUUCUUCUUAAGAGGGUGAUAAGGCAAAGCAUUCUGUAGCUGGACGAGCCGCCCCCAAGCUUGUGGAAGACUCUCUUCUUGGAAUUGAGCAAAGUUGUAUAUUUCCUGCAAGGCAGCUUGCUUCUUAUGGGCAGGGAAAUAUUUCUCACAAAAGUAAUAGACCAUCUCCUGGGGACUACGCACACAUCCAGGAGCAAGAGAGGUGAACCAGGCUUUAGCAUCAUCCUUUAGAGAGAAAGGAAACAACUUAUGGAUAUAGUAGUGGCGGAUGUUCUCCUCAUUAGUGAAAAGGUGGGCUAUUUCGGAUAGUUUGGCAAGAUGGGCUAUGACCGUCUCAGACUCAUAACCGUGAAAAGGAUCAUAUUCGACUAGAGAGAUUAUCUCAUGGUCGACAGAGAAUACAUAAUCCUUAUUGGUGACAAAGAUAGGCGAAGUGGCAAACUUCGGAUCAUUUUUCAUCCUAACUUCCCGAGAUUUUUCUUUCCACUUGAGAACUAAUUUCUCAGCGUCAUAGGCAUCCUUACACGCAAGAAAAUCCUCAGCUAUCUCUCCCUCCAUAACGUAACCCUCAUGUAUAACAAGCAAUUCAUAUCUAGGAGAGCUAGAUCUAACAGGAGAAAAAGCAGGUUCUAUCUCAGUAGCAUUAGCAGUAUCAGAAGCAUCACGAGCAUUGGCAGUAACUCUAGCAAUAUGAGCAUCAAGGAACGCUCUCAGUGAAACAUCAGGCAAAGGAGUAUCAAGCAUAGCAUCAUCAGGCAUAGUAGCAUCUCUAGCAUCAUCAGGCAAAGCAGUAUCAAGCAUAGCAUCUCUAGCAGUAUCAAGCAUAGUAUCAAGCACAACAUCAUCAUGCAUAAUAUCAAGCAUAGCAUCUCUAGCAGUAUCACAAGCAUCAUCAAGCACAGGCGACAUAUCAACAUUUCUAGCAGGAGGUGAUGUCGCAAACUUACUCAUAACUGAAGGUGAAUCAAGUGAAGAGCUAGAUGGCAAUUCCUUACCUCCCCUCGUAGUUGAGGGCAAAACUUUGGUCUUCGGAUCCUUCAGAUUCUUCAUAGUGAUCAGCAGAUAUAAAUCCCAAGUGACUCAGAGAAUAUAGCAAUACCUCCCCGGCAACGACGCCAGAAAAAUGCUGACGUCAGCUGUGCUUGCCUGGCAAUGGCUCCAGAAAAGGACUGAUCCUCCAAUCUCUGACGUUAGCUAGACGAAUGCUUAUGACAACGAACCUUCUCGUGCAAAGGCACCAGAAGAAUGCUGCUAGCACUCCCCGGCAAUGAAACUGGAAGAACGUUGUUGAUGGCCCACCAACGCGUGGGUUCGCAGCAGUUUUCGAGGGUAGAGUAUUCGACCCAAUUUGUAGAUAAGCCUUAGGAGGUGAGAGUAUACUCUCAAGUAUUAGCAGCUGAAUUUUUCAGAUUCAACCACACCUGAAAGAUUAGUAUCUGCAAGCACAGUAGUAACAACAAAGUAGUAUGAUAACAACGGUGUCAGAAACGAUCUGUUGACAGCAGACUAUUCCUAACGAUUGUAUCAAUGGCGCUUCCGUUGCCGCGUUGAGGGAAGUUGUCAAUUCCCAUCAACGGUCAGGCGAAUCAACAAUGUAACAUGUAGUAGCAGUGUAAUGAGCAAUAACAGUGGCAAGGAACAACAGUAGUGACAACAGUAGCAAGCGAUAGUAGUAGCAACAAUAGCAGCAGAGCAAGACAAGUAACAGCAGUAGCAACAGUAGUAGCAGUAGAGCAAGACAAGUAACAACAGUAGCAAUAGUAGUAGCAGCAGCAGCGCAAGACAAGUAACAACAGUAGUAACAGUAGGACAAACUCAUAGGCAAUGGGGCGGUGAUUUGUUUGGAUGCAACAGUAGGACAAACUCGUAGGCAAUGGGUCCGUGAUUUGUUUCGAUGAUAUUCAUCAUGCAACAGCUAUAACACGGAGAGAUAAGUGGCUAGCUCCCGUUCGUCAAUGUGAUGUAGGCAUGCAUUCCGUGUGUCGUCAUACGUGCUUAGGGAAAAGAACUUGCAUGACAUCUAUUGUCCAUCCCUCCCAUGGCAGCGGGGUCCAAAAGGAAACUACGGGAUAUUAAGGUUCUCCUUUUAAUAAAGAACCGGAACAACGCAUUAGCACUUGGUGAACACAUGAACUCCUCAAACUAUGGUCAUCACCGGGAGUGGUUCCGGUUAUUGUCACUCCGGGGUUGCCGGAUCAUAACACAUAGUAGGUAACUACAACUUGCAAGAUCGGAUCUAAAACACACAUAUAUUGGUGAAAACAUAAUAAUUUCAGAUCUGAAAUCAUGGCACUCGGCCCUAGUGACAAGCAUUAAGCAUGGCAAAGUAGUAGCAACAUCAAAUCUCAGAACAUAGUGGAUACUAGGGAUCAAUCCCCAUCAAAACUAACUCGAUUACAUGAUAGAUCUCAUCCUACUCAUCACCGCCCAACGAGCCUACGAAUAGAUUACUCACGAACGACAAAGAGCUUCAUGGAAUUGGAGAGGGAAGAAGGUUGAUGAUGACGAUGGCGACGAUUUCCCCUCUCCGGAGCCCAAGACGGACUCCAGAUCUGCCCUCCAGAUGAAGAACAGGUGGUGGCGGCGCCUCCGUAUUGAAAACGCGACGAAAACUUCUCUUUUUAUUUUUUUCGGGACGAAAGACAACUUAUAGAGCUGGAGUUGGGGGCGGCAGGUGCCUGUGGGCCCCACAAGCCUGCCCACCGCCACCAGGGGGGGCGCGGCAGGUGCCUGUGGGCCCCACAAGCCUGCCCACCACCACAAGGGGGGUGGUGGCGGUGUAGGGGCUUGUGGCCCACUGGCCCACCCCCUGAGGUGGAUCCUAGCGCAUGUAUUUUUGAUAUUUUCCAAAAUUUCUCCCCGUAAAUUUUCUGGACGUUUGGAGAACUUUGAUUUCUGCACAAAAAUAACACCAAGGCAAUUCUGCUGAAAACAACGUCAGUCCAGGUUAGUUCCAUUCAAAUCAUGCAAAUUAUAGUCCAAAACAAGGGCAAAAGAGUUUGGAAAAGUAGAUACGUUGGAGACGUAUCAACUCCCCCAAGCUUAUAACCUUGCUUGUCCUCAAGCAAACGUAUCACCUACCGGUCCAUAGCAGUACCUAGAUGGUAUAUCUCUCUCUUUCUUUGAUCUUCAAUACAAUGACCACCACAUCUUCGCUUUGAUCCAUAUGUGAUGUAACUCUUUUGUACGGUGCGUUUGUUGGGAUCCAAUGAAUUAUGGGUUUAUGUUUAGAUUAUUCAUGAUAAAUAUUUGAGUCUCCUCUGAUAUAUAUAUAUAUAUAAUAUGAUACUUAUGUGUAUGAUUAUGAUAGCUUCGUAAUUCUCUCGAGUCUAUUGAGAUAGUUUGGCCAACAAGAUUGCUAUUUCUUCGACGAGAGAGGUGUGUUGUAGUAGGUUCAACCUAGCGAGUUUCUAUAUCCCAGUGAUAGAAGGGGACAAGUUGCGUCUUUGUGUUGCUGCUACUAAGGGUAAAACGAUGAGAUUUAUUCAUGUUAGUUGAGUUUACUUUGUCUACAUCAUGACAUCUUACUCCAAGUAUUACUUCGUUCGUCAUGAACUUAAUACAUAAAGAGUCAAGCAUAGAAGCACUCCUGAAGUAUAGGUGCAGGAAGGAGUUGAUCUAUUUAUUUAUGGAUGUGAUGCCUAUAUUUACAUGGUCAUUACCGUGAAAAUCGCAUAACUAUUCGCUGUUCCAUCAAUUGCCCAACAAUAAUUUGUUUACCCACCGUAUGCUUAUUUUCAUGACAGAUGCCACUCGGGAAAGCUAUGCCCCCCGGGUUUAUUCACAACAUAUAGCUAAAACCUCCACCACCUUGCUGCCAUUUAUUUUAUUUUAUUUUAUUUUGCAUUUUACAAUUAUCUACGCACCUCAUUUGCUUGCAAAUAACGAGACCAACGGGAUUGACAACCCUCUUGCCCGCGUUGGGUGCAAGUUGUUUGUUCUUUUGUGUGCAGCCGCUGAAGAUGGUUGUGGAUUGAUACUCCUAUUCAUUCGAUAAACCUUGAUUUCAUAACUGAGGGAAAUACUUACACAUUUUGUGCUGCGAUUACCCAUUCAUCUUCACGGAAAACCCAACGCAGAUCAUGAGUAUCAAGGUGCAGGCAGGAGCGAGCCCAUUUAUUUAUGGAUGUGAUGCCUAUAUACACAUGCUCAUUGUCGUGAAUAUCGCAUAACUAUCUUCUUUUCUGUCAAUUGCCCAAUAGUAAUUUGUUUACCCACUGUAUGCUAUUUUUCAUGAGAGAUGCCAUUAGGGAAAACUAUGGCCCCCGGUUCUAUUCACAACAUACCUACAAAACCUUGAAUACCUUACUGCCAUUUAGUUUCUUUUAUUUUAUUUUGUGUUUUAUAACUAUCUACAUACCUCACUCGCUUGCACAUAAAAAGUACAAGGGGAUUGAGAACCCUCUUGCCCGCGUUGGGUGCAAGUUGUUUGUUCUUUUGUGUGCAGACGCUGAAUACGGUUGUGGUUGAUAUUCCUAUUGGUUUGACUAGUACAAAUGCCCGUGCGUUGCGUCGGGCUAGAAAAAAGUGCAGAACCUACUUGUUUUGCCAUUAUGCGGCAUUAGUUUUAAUAAAUGUCAAUUAUAAUGUUAAAUGUAAGACGUCUAUUUUUGGACGGAAGGAGUUUCUUUUAAAAUUUUAAAAUAUAAUGUAUUGCUUACAUAAAAAUUUGAUUACUUUUUAAUAAUAAUGAUAUUACAAUGACAAUUAUAACAUAUCAAAUGGCCUAUUCUGCUAAGUUUAUAAGAUCAAUGUUGAGAACCUUGCAUUGGCUGGAGGAUUUACAAAUGCAGCCUUGGUCUUUUCUAUUUUGUGACAAAUAACGCUUUUCUGAUUUCCAACUAUGGACACAAGCGUGAGGUGGAAAACUUGCGAGAUCACAGGUUGCUUGCAAACCCUUUCGUACUUGGGGCAGGAAAGCCAUGUGGCGUUUUGAUAUCUCCUGAUCAUGGCAGAUCAUAUGAGAGGGUGAAAGCGCUCGAGUCCAUGAUCUCAAUUCUGGUGAGCGAAGCAGGCAAGUCGGAGGAAUGGAUGGGUCUCACGACACAUGAGAUCUCUGUCUUGCUGUCCCAGAUAGGGCAGCUACCUGUUGUGGUGAAUGUUUCAGGUGAUAGUUUUCGUCGCUAGUGGUGACUGAUAAUUUUGUAGCUUUCCAAGGGGCAACCAUUUUGAACUGCCCGACCAUUUCUUUAGAAAUACUUAGGCUCAGUUUGCAGUUGCUGAACUGUAUGGUUUAUUUUAUCAUUUUUGCUAAAUUUCAAUCGAUUGAUUUUGAUUUCGUGCCCAGUCAAAUUUUGGAGCCCUUAGAUCUGGAGUCGCACAUAUCAACAAGAAAUUCUGAAAGCAUCUGUCUUUUCAGUUUGGGGUUGUUUGUUCAUGGUUUUUAAUGGAUUGUGGGUUUCAUGGUUUUCUCAAAUGACCAACCUGGGUGGGGGGUUGGAGAGGGCUGGGGCCUGGGGGUCUUUUCUUUUUGGAUUUUCCUUUGUGCAUAUGUGUAUGUCACUUCUUCAGUUUCGACUGCGUUCCCGACCUAGAGGAGAGGGGAGAGGUGCUGGUUGGGUGAGAGAGAGAGAGAUGGAGAUGGAUGGGAGGGGCCGACCGACGUCAGCAAGUAGUCUCCGCACACUGAUUUUUUGAAAGAAUUUAAGCCGGUUUGGAUCUGUUGUAGUCGGCACAAUUGAGGUCUGUGUUGGGCAGUAGUUUGUGUGGACAGCAGGGGUUUCAGGAAAUCGGUAGGGAGCUGCUCCGUACAUGGGCUCUUUGAAUGUGGAGUAGCCAGCUAUGUGUGUUCUCAUCGAUUCAAAUCAAGUGCUAUGCUAGAAGUGGACAUAUCUGUAUGUUUAUCUGAAUUUUUACCGGAACCAGAUGCUUGAGGUGGUCAGGUUUUCAAAAAAGCAGAGCUCUAGCUUUUUUCAGAAGACCACCACGGUGAAUGAUUACAAAAUGUUGCAUGUCAUUAUACACUACUAUUAUUUCUUUGAGACACUGUUUCCGCUAGUAAAAUCUUUAUUUCUUCUUAGGAAAGUAAAAUUUGCAUCUGUAUAUUUAUAUUUUCUCUUACUAAGUGAUGCUAUGCUUACGAGAAAAUGUCAUAAUAAAAUUUGUGUUUGAGCUAAGAAUUAUAUCUUCAUGUGAUGUUCUCUGUCAUCCAUCUCUCCAUUGUGUUGCAUAGAUCUAUAUCUGUUUUUCUGCCUAUUCUUCAUAAAAUUUAUUUUAGACAAUCAGAAAGGCGCUCCUCGACUCCAUUUAUAUAAAAGAAACCAACUUAGCACACAACAAUCUUCUUCAUAAAAUGUACUCAGAUUACCAAUCAACGAGGCAAGCUACCUCUAGCUCUACAAACUUUUUCUCUUCCAACUUUCUGUAGCUAUUUUGUUGCCCCUAAUUAUCUGUACUGAUCCAUAGCUAAAGUUAGUAGUUAGUUUUGAACUAACAUGACAGUCCACCAAUAUUUCUUGUCAUUCUUCAGUUUACUCUUUAGCCCCUCAGUAUGUAUCUUCUUUCUUCAGUUUGUCUUUUUUUCUUAAUUUUACACACAUGGGCGCGAUGAAUUAACGAGAGCAGAGCAGAUGCAGAUGUAGAUUUGAAGGGAACCGCGCAGCAGCAGUAGAGGUAGAGAGAUGUGAGCGGCUGACCUCUGUUGCACGCCGUCUUAUUUGCAAACGAAUGAGAUGAGUUCGGAUCAGACCACGAUCCACUCCUCCUCCCCGUCGGAGAACUCGAGCGCGAUGGUGAUGCCCCGCACCACGCAGAACCCGGCGUUGUUGUCCCCCUCAUCCUCGUCGACAUCUUCGGUAAUUUCAGCAUCCUGGUCCUCGAUUUUGUCGGUGUCCGCCGCUGCCGCCGUGCCGUCUGGGUCGUCUUCUUGGCCUCCGGGCGCAGCCUGGAGGCCGAUGAUGAGGCCGUACAUGUCAGAGAUCCCCCUCGGGGCGGCGACUUCGAGAUCAGCAUCGUCCUCCUCCUCGACCUCGGCAUGCGAGCUGUUGCCGUCGGCGAGGUGGGCAAGCACGCCGGAUGCGGAGGCGCCCCUGUAGUUGUACCCGCCCGUGGCGGUGGCCCGGCGCCGCUGCCGACGCGCUAGGAGACGAGGCGGUGGUUGAGGGCGACGUCGGCGGCGCGCAACUUGCGUGCGCCCUUGGCCUUGUCCCGCGCCUUGGUGGUGGCGGCGGCGGCGGACGGGUGCUGGAGGCACCCGGCGCACCGCACCGCCCCUACAAAAAAAGAAACCUUAUCUUAAGAGAAGGAUCUCGGGUGGAAUACUCCAAAACGAGAUGUUCUUUUUAUAAGAACUUUUUCCUGUUUAGUCACUUAAAUCUGGACGGCGGGUUGAAUACCCAGAAGAAGAGGGACUUCUUUACAAAACAGCCAGCAAUGGGUGAUAGAAGCGAUACGUGCUUUAUUAGUAGGUAUAGAUAAACCUUGGUUUCAUAACAUAGGGAAAUACUUACCCACACUAUGCCGCGAUAACCCAUUCCUCUUUACGAAAAACCCAACGCAGAUCAAAAGUAUCAUGCACACAUCUUUUGGUGAAGUUGAAGGGGGGUAUACAUGGAAUGACAUGAUCAAUUGAUGAAAAACAUGUUCGACAAACGGGAUCUAUUCGAAUUGAGGCAUUAUUGUACUAGACUUAAUUUGCAUGCUAAAUACGGUUGAUUUUUGUUAUUUUGUAUCCGGACUUUGAUGAAUAUCAGUUGGUUUGCAUGAAUUUUGCCCGAUUUGUUUAAAUGUGGGUUGAAAUGUAGCGGCUACAGUUAGGUGGCAUCAUCCCACAUACUUGUCCACGGAAUGGUCCUCCCCUGUCCGCGGAUAAUUUUGGAGGGAAAUUUACGGGUUGCCGUUGGAGAUGCCCUAAGGAUAUAAGUGUUUAAUUUCCUGGAAGUUGGAUAAAAGUGGUGAAAUGAUAUGUGUUUGGGUGUGACUCGAGAGGGGUUGCAUCCUCACUCUCCAUACACUACAAGGAAAUACCUUAUAGGUAGAUGCCUAGCAGUAGCAUUGGUAGUUGGCAUGCGGUUCAGUUUAUUAGCAGUAGUGUGGCAGCCAAUAGCAACAUCACUAGCUCGCUGAUAACCCACAACUAUAGGGGAUGACAAUAGUCUUAGAGGGUAGUAUUUCACCCAAAUUUAUUUAUUUGACACAAGGGGAGCCAAAGAAUAUUUAUUAGACUUAGCAGUUGAGUUGUCAAUUCUACCACACCUGAUAUAUCUUUCUGCGACAAUGUGUUUAGUAGCACAAGUGUUUCAUAGUUUUGAUAGUGUGGUAAUGGUAGGAAUAGUAUUAAGAGCACUAGCAGUUUGUAACAGUAGUAACAACAUCAGGUACUUAGCAAUAUCAAUAUGAGAAAAGCGUAGGCAUUGUAUUUAGCGAUGGAUAAGUAUGUUGGAUGACAUUCAUCAUGCAAUAGUCACAACCUAGAGCGACACAGAACUAGCACCAAUUCAUGAAUAUAAUGUAGGCAUGUAUUCCGUACGUAGCCACACAUGCCUAUAGUAAGGACUUGCAUGACAUCUUUUGUCCUACCGUCCCGUGACAGCGGGGACCAUAAGGAAAUCUAAGGGAUAUUAAGGCAUCCUCUUAUAAAACAUAUCAAGUAUUUGAUUUUUAUUCAGAGGAUGAUUAGGCAAAGCAUUAAGUAAUUGGAUAAGCCUCCCCAAGCUUGAGGGAGAUUCUCUUCUUUAGUUUGCACAAAGCUAAAUAUUUCAUGCAAGGUAGCUUGUUUCUUAUGAGUAGGAAAAUAUUUUUCGCACAAGUAAUAUAUCAUAUGGGGACUAUGCACACACUACAGGAAUCCGCUUCUUUGCCAUCUACCAUGGCAGACGACAAAGGGCUGCUCCAUCGACGGCAAAGGCCUUUUCCGUCCGCCGGCAGUCGGCAAAACUUCUACGGUUGCUUGCGCCAAUAAAGGGCCUUCUUUGCCGUAUGAUUCUAGGCAGCGGACGGUAAAGGCCUUUGCCUUCCGCCGUCGAUGGCAAAUAGACGACAUUCCACACGCACCUACUCCGUGUGCUUUUUGUGGCCACCUUUGUCGUCAGGCGGCGUACCACCUUUGCCAUCUGCUUUUUGUGGCCUUGGCAUCUGCUUUUCUGUGGCCUUUGUCGUCUGCUUUUUGUGGCUGGCUUUGUCGUCUGCUUUUUGUGGAGGGCUUUGUCAUGUGCCAGUGUGGUACGCUUUGCCGUGUGCCGGCAUGGCAGGCUUUGCCGUCUGCCAGGUGUCACCCCAGGCGCCCCAUCUUUGCUAUGUGUCGAGCAGCCUCCUUUGCCAUCAGCGUGGUUGCCCCUUUGUCGUCUGCCAUGAACGACAAAGUUACCAUAUUGUCCAGCCGGUUGCCCCAGGUUGCACAUGUGGGUGACCUGUGACACCUUUGCUAUCCGCUAGCAGAUGGCAAAGCCCUUUGCCGUCCGCUGGCACACCGCUGGCACACCAGGAUUGCCACUAUUUUGUUUGCUUUUAGAUAUUUUCCUGCAUUUUAAAAAUACACAUAUGAUAUAUAUAAUUCUUAACACCCACAUAAAGUUUCAAAAUACACAUAUCAUAUAAGCAACAUAUAGGCCAUGUAUCGAACAUCAUAUAAGAGCAAAACAACAAAUAAGCUAGCUAAAUACACAUAGUUUCAAUCAUCAUACAUACACAAACUUAUAUUAUCUCCAUACAUACACAUAGUUUCACACUAUUUAUCAAUACAAAUCGAAACAGAAAGUAAAAAGUAGCAGCCCAUCAGUGCUGGCUUCCAUGAAUGUCACGUUCCAUGAAGUGAAUCAAAUAUGGAAAAUGAAAAUAAGAAAGUUAGAAGAAGAAUAAGAAGUUGAAGAAAACUAGAAGAAGAAGAAAACUAGAAGAAGAAGAAGAAAAAGAAGAAGAAGAAGAAGAAGAAGAAGAAGAAAACUAGAAGAAGAAGAAGAAGAAAACUAGAAGGAGGAGGAGGAGGAGAAGAAGGAGAAGAAGGAGGAGAAGGAGGAGAAGUAGAAGAAGAAGGUGAAGAUGAUUACUUAUCUUGUUUUGAGCUUAUUACGUCAUUUUGGAGGAAGAUACGCUAAGUUAUGAGCUAACCAAG
rnacentral:lncRNA from 1 species